rnacentral:rRNA from 1 species
GACGUAGGGCGCGAGCGUUGUCCGGAUUUAUUGGGCGUAAAGAGCUCGUAGGCGGCUUAGUAAGUCGGAUGUGAAAACUCGGGGCUCAACCCCGAGACGCCAUCCGAUACUGCUGUGGCUUGAGUCUGGUAGGGGAACACGGAAUUCCUGGUGUAGCGGUGGAAAUGCGCAGAUAUCAGGAGGAACACCCGAUGGCGAAGGCAGUGUUCUGGGCCAGUACUGACGCUGAGGAGCGAAAGCGUGGGGGAGCAAACAGG